UAUGCUUGUUGCGAAUGCAACUGAGCUGGUUUCUAGCUUCAAUCAUUAUUGGGUUGCACUGUUCUAUUUGUUUUCAUUUGUAUUGCCAUCAAAAGUUACUUACCGAUCGCUCAGUACACAUUCUACACGUGUUUUAUUGAUUUUUGUGUGGUUGCGAUAGUUUUGGAGAUUGACAUUUAAGCUUUCCAAAGACGUGUGUCUAGUAUCACAUUUUGCAAUCACUUUAGGCAAAAGUGCGUGGGCUCAACAUGUUGUUUGGUAAAAGAUAAAUUAAUUGUGUUAUGUUCUGUUUACAUGUUCUAUAUUUUAUUUUUGUCCAUUACUAAACUCUUCGCAUUAUGGGAUAAAUCCACUACGAAUAGAACGUUCACGUUUAGUCCUAGUUAACAAACAGCGUGGCCGCAAUGCAUAGAGCUUCCCAUCGCGUGACCCAACGUGACUCCUGCAGGAGAGCUUAGCAUAAGCUAUCACACAGAUGAAUCGUGUACUAAUGUUUCUAAAUUGUCCGUGUGUGUUAUGUGCUUUGUCCUGCUGCUUUACACCGGUCACAAUCGUAGUCCGGGUCAUCAGCAUCAGCUUUAGGGAUAAUAGCAAGCUUGGUGUUUUGUUUUUCAUUACCCAUCCAUUUAGGCGGAGGUUUUUAUUGCCCUUUACUUUUUUGUUAGAGUCCGUCUACGACCAGUGGUAGGAUGGCGCACGUCAGCUGGCGAAAAGAGUUUCACUCUACCGCCCUUUCUUCUUCACUGUUGCUUCAACUGCGCCGGGCCGGGACACAACCAUUAAUGGCACGGCAGAGGGAUGAGUUUUAUUUUUUAAGCGAUUGGAUUAGUGAAUGCUUCGCAGGUCCGUGGGUAGCAGUUGCAAUGAAAGGAAAGGAAAAGCAAGGAAAGGAAACAAAAUAAAUACAAGCUCAUCGCUUCUCAUUCCACGUGCCGGGGCAAAUAAAGCGUGGCCUGUUGCGGCUAAUCAUAAUCAGUGCGUGCCGAUCGUGCCAAACGAAUGCAGCGCAACCCGGAAAGCAUUUAAAACCAUCCGGAAAACAUUCCGAACUCUAUCAAGCUGUGCCAUUGUCCCGUGGUGGUGGAUAUAAAAAUCAAAACGAUAAGCUUUAGCAGUGGAGCAGUGGAGCGCGUUGUUUCGGAAAAUUCCUUCCCAUUCCCAUUUAUUGUGUUUUUCUUUUUGUUGCUGUGCCCAGAUAGCGAUCAGCCAUUCUUCCGCUUAAUGUGCGCGAGUGAGUGGAUUUGAGGCUUGAGUUUAUGUUUUACGGUCGAUAUUUAUAAGCGAUUAUGAUCUUAAUGCCUUCGGUUGGGACAACCGAACGAUAUCAUCCUUCUUGCCUGUUUGCCUCGACAAGAGCUCGGUGAAACAACAAGAGGAAUCAUUGAUUCGUUUCAUACCGUUGUUUGCUUUUUUAUUCACGAACAAUCCGGGUUUCACAUUCAUUUAGCUAUUCUUCCAAGCAUGCCAAUGAUAUGACAAUCGAUACAGUCUGGUUUAAACGAAAGAACAACAUCCACUUAUCCCUAUCUUUGACUGUUCAAAGAUGAAUUGAAACGAGAACCAUAACACAAGUAUCGAAUAAAAGCGAACGAUCAUUUGGUAGGGUAUAUUAACGUUGAUUAUGUUCCAAUUCUGUUCCGUGUAUGACCAAAAGCAUCAGCCGAGUAACGGGAUGGUACUGAGUUUCGGUUUGUACCUGCGACCGAACAAGCAUCAAUUUAUGUACCAUUUCUGUCUUUCAACGAGAACGAGAGGAAAAUUGCUAAUUUACCUCACUCAAAGAAAAGAGAAAUCGUAUCCUGGGAACAAGGAAGUUUAAUUGACCUACGUUACGAUGCAAAACGUCCGUCAACAUAGCUUUGAAGCCACCCAAAAUGCUCAUGAAACCAUCUCAUCUAGCCUGUUGUAUGGAUGUGCUUGAUGGGAGUGUAAUUUAAGAGGCUAUUUCAGAUUUUUUUCCUCUGUUUUGUUAUUCUUCUUUAUCAAUCCCACCCCCAUCCCCAUCUCCGGAAAUGACUCUUCGUUCGCGAAGACCCGAACGGAAAGGAUGAUACAUAGGCUGGAAGGUUCGGCAAGUGGUGCCUGCGACUAUUCAAAUGAGGAACGGGUGGAUUUAAACGUGAAAUGGACCGUCGUCAACAGUUGGAAAAGGAUGAUGCCAUGGAAUUCGCUACCCUACCCCGUGCCAGCCAGCCGGUAAGUGUGCGUCUUAAUUGACCAUUUUACGGUUUAUGUUGAGCAACGUCCAACCAAGUGAAUUGCGAUUCAAGUAGGUUUUGGGAGUGGAUCCAAACAUCCCACAUAGCUCAACAUAAACAACCACAUGCUGCGCUUCCAAACGUACCCAUUCUGUGGCUUUCCCAAAUGUUGGUUAGACGCCAGACGAGAAUGAUUUUAAAUAUCUUGUUUUAGAAUCGUUAGUUUUUGUUGCUAUUGUACUUCAUUGACUAUUAAUAACUCGUUGGCGAAGGAUUAACUGGAAUGUACCGGUGGUUCAAACGGGCCGGUACAAGGAGCUAUGAGUUCUAAAAUUAGAUGCCCAUUAAUUUAAACGCUGCACGAUUUCGUUCUCUUUCACGCGAUUUUUGCGAAAAUUCUAUCGGCAGGGAAGCUGUUUAAGUUUAAUCGGAACUAUUAAAUUGAUCCUUAAUUUUAUUGAACCUUUUUCACACAAAACAAAAAUCUCACUAAUUUGUUGCUCAUACUAGCUAAAACUUUUUCGCCAAUCUUUCGCAAAUGUAAACUAACUUUAACAGACGACUGUAUGAUAUUUAGUAUGUUUGUAAAUCUGUUGAAAAUUUUUAAUGUGUUCAUAAAUCAAUUGUUAAAACAUUAUUACAAAUUAAAAAUAUAUUACUAUGAACAUAUAUCGUCAUAUUUCACAAAGCGGUGGAUGCGUACUUACCUUCGCUGUAUCCGAUUUAUUUACUCAUUAUGGUUUAUGAUCCAAUUGUGUAUCAUAACGCAUUAUCUUCAAAUGUUCUUUAGAUGUUAUUUUUAUUUUUAAAAAAAGUUCACACGAAACAAAACAAUCAAAGCCGUAAUGCCUGUACUAAAUCGCAUCAUGCAACGACGCCCUUUUUAAAAGAUUGAUCCGCAACCGGUCCGCGCUGGUGACGUGCAUAAUGAGAUAAGCUUCGUAAAUCCGGCAACGACUUCACCACCAAAUGCCAAUAAAACGUUUAACAAGUAACGAACGAUUUCAAUUACGAGUUCAACGUUAACCGUCAAGACGAGCCGGCCAGGCGCCAGAAUCGACCGCGGACAAGUUAUCGCCCAUCAAACUUCGAUACCGGCAAGCCACUACGACCCGUUGGACCCACCGAACGCUCACCACAAAUCGGUCACCGGGGACAAAUUAUUUGCGUGCCCAUACUUUGCGCAUUUCACCCGCUGCCCUCGGUGUAACGAGCUUAUCUGCCAUCUUGCGUGCCCAUGCCGAGCAACCGUGUUGCAGCGCUGGUUGGCAACGAUGGGGCCUGGGCCACAAAUGUCCUGCGGUGACGGUUUUUCCCAUGACAACCCAAAUCACCGCACACGAUACGAUACGAUAAACACGCCCGCGCCCAGGAGCGUUGAGUGUGUGUGUGUGUGCAGAGGACGACACAACACGAGAAGAAGAAAGAGAAACGUUCGCUUACCGCCGGCCACCAAUCGAUCAACUCCUGCCCGUCAUCGUACGCAUCCAACAGCUUCACGUUUUUCUACGCGCGUGGAAUGGAAUUUUCCGCUCCGGUAGCGAACGCAGCAGCAAAGUAGCUUCGAGCAGUGACUAAAGAACUUUCCCGGAACAAUGCGUACGCAUGUGAGAGUGUUUGUGAGACCAGUUCAACUUAACUCAACGCUGCCAAAAACUUGCAAAGACUUGAAAGAGCAUGAAAAACAACUACAACAAAACCGCCGUCCCUAUCGGCAAUAAAAACAUUCCUUUCUAACGCCCGUUGGUUGAGUCGAAUGAUUUCUUGAUUUGAUUUUCCAUAGCUACGUGCCGCUAUGUUCCUCCCGCGUUUGGCACUUACCUAUUCUUUUCAUCAUGUUUGCAACGAAAACAAGUACUUCGGAAGAGGAUUGUACAUAUUUUUUCCCCGUUGAAUUGACCGAAUGACCUCCAGCUCUAUGCAUUAAUGCAUUUUGUUGAAGAUUCUAUUUGUAUACAUGAUUUAUGACUGGCACAGUUUUGCAUGGAGGUAGUUAAGUGAUAAUUAGGUAAAGAAUUUAAUUGGUUUAUGUUGGGGCGGUCUCGUGGAACAGUUGUAUACUCGUAUGACUUAAAAACAUAACAUACCCAUUACGGACCGUUAUGCAGAAUA